rnacentral:rRNA from 1 species
UCCGUUGGUGAACCAGCGGAGGGAUCAUUACAGAGUUAUCCAACUCCCAAACCCAUGUGAACUUAUCUCUUUGUUGCCUCGGCGCAAGCUACCCGGGACCUCGCGCCCCGGGCGGCCCGCCGGCGGACAAACCAAAACUCUUGUUAUCUUAGUUGAUUAUCUGAGUGUCUUAUUUAAUAAGUCAAAACUUUCAACAACGGAUCUCUUGGUUCUGGCAUCGAUGAAGAACGCAGCGAAAUGCGAUAAGUAAUGUGAAUUGCAGAAUUCAGUGAAUCAUCGAAUCUUUGAACGCACAUUGCGCCCAUUAGUAUUCUAGUGGGCAUGCCUGUUCGAGCGUCAUUUCAACCCCUAAGCACAGCUUAUUGUUGGGAACCUACGGCUUCGUAGUUCCUCAAAGACAUUGGCGGAGUGGCAGUGGUCCUCUGAGCGUAGUAAUCUUUUAUCUCGCUUCUGUUAGGUGCUGCCCCCCCGGCCGUAAAACCCCCAAUUUUUUCUGGUUGAGCUCGGAUCAGGUAGGAAUACCCGCUGAACUUAAGCAUAUC